rnacentral:rRNA from 1 species
AGACUAUCGGGUUGAUAGGUCGCACGUGUAAGUGCCGAAAUGCAUUCAGCGAAGCGAUACUAACGGUCGAAAAUUUGACC